UUCGGAAUAGCUUAAGAAAAAGCAUUGAUUUUGUAAUUCAAAGAAUGGGACUUCCCUUCCGAAU
rnacentral:tRNA from 1 species